rnacentral:rRNA from 1 species
CUGCGCCACAAGUGGUGAUCGCGUUUAUUGGGCCUAAAGCGUCCGUAGCCGGAUUGAUAACUCUUUUGUGAAAUUGUUAGACUUAAUUUAACAACGUGCAGGAGAAACUGUCAAUCUUGGGACCGGAGAGAAGUCAGAAGUAUGCCGUGGGGAGCGGUAAAAUGAAAUAAUCCACGGUAGACUACCUGUGGCGAAGGCGUCUGACUAGAACGGAUCUGACGGUGAGGGACGAAAGCUAGGGGAGCAAUCCGGAUUAGAUACCCGAGUAGUCC